UGUUGGUCUAUCUGGAUCGAUCACCAUUCUCAUGAUGAUAUUAUGAUCGAGAGUAUUUAGAAAUUAAUUAUACAUACCUCUAAUUCUCAAUAUCUUGAGAAUAUGUAUUGAAGUAUUAAUUUUAUGGAUGAUUCAAGGGCACAUCAAUCUUGACUGAAAAAUAAAAUUUAUCCAUUUAUUGAUCAAAUUAAUAUAUUAAGUAUAAAAUUAUAUC
rnacentral:lncRNA from 1 species